UCUUAAGGUCAUACCAGCCCAAGAACGCCCGGUCUCGUCUGAUCUCGGAAGCUAAGGAGGCUUGGGCCUGGUUCUUUGGAUGGCAGACCUCCUGGGAAUACCAGGUGCUGUAAGCU
ensembl:rRNA 5S_rRNA 5S ribosomal RNA